ACGCCCCAAGUCGGGCAGCCCGUGGGGCGGGGGAGACUCGGGGCUCGGCCCGGCCCCGGGCUGCGGUGCUGAGCUCCUGCCCCCCGCCCCGUCUUCUCCCUGGAUCCGCGCCCCGGGCCCGCUCGCAUGGCGGGCUGAGCCCGAGGCGGGAGCGGGGGAGCCGGGAGGAAAGUUGCUCCCAGCCGGGGGCCGGGGAGCGGGGGGUUCAGGGCUCGGUGUGGGUCCCCGGGCGUGUGGACCGGAGCGUGCCCUGUAUGGCCAGUGCAGUGCCGGUGACUGUCAGGAGUCCACUGCCCUGGUGAGGCCCCACUUCACCCGUGGGCCCUGUGCCCACACUGGGCUCCUCCCCAGGCUGAGAACUGCCUGAGUGUAGACACAGGGCCCGAGUCCCGAGCUCAGCAGGAUCUGCAGCUGGUGGCCCAGGAUAGCCUGGCCUGGGGCUGCUGGCAGGCGGGGUUUCUGUCCCUCAGGAACAAAACACCCCCAGCAACACACCUGACAGCCCAGAGAGGAGGGGCAAAGGGGAGACUGCAGCGCACCACGGAAACUUCGGGGUAUCUGUGAAGCCAGGUGCAGGUUACACUGACCCCUGAAGAGACCUUCAGCCAGUACAGACCGGCCAGCUUGUGAGGACAGGCCCAGCCAAGCCCUCACUGGGAAGACACAGCCUCCAACACCUUCCUUUCUUGGUUUGAGUUGGGCUGGCCUCCCUCCAGCCAAUACCAGGAAUGGCUUUUUGACUGUUGAGCUUGCCUAGAAGCGAUAAGGUUUAUCUCCCCAAGCCUCUUCUGCUCUGGGGCUUUCCAUCUCUCCCUACCUUUCGAAGAACUUGGGGUUGAGUCCUCUGCUAUUCAGAAGCCAGAAGACUAUUUAGACAGCAAUAAUAAGGCUACCCACAAAGAGAGAGAGGAAGAGCCGCCAGAUGGGACUCAUAUCUAUUGCCGGUGGUCUUGGUGUGUGGAAUAUUUCCCAGGCGGUUGGUAUUCGUCCUGCUCGGUGUGCAUUGAGAGGCCCAGCGUGAGAUCAGGGCCCCAUUGUGCUAGGUGCUGGAGAGCCCCAAAUGCAGCCUCAGAGAGCUUAUCAUUUGGACAGGAAGCUUUAUCCCCUUGGCACAGCUGGGGACGGGAUCAGUGACUCACCUGCUGUCACACCAGGAGUCUGUGAGAGCCGGGACUUUGAACCAAGAAGGCUUGUCCAAGGCCUCCACCAGUGGAGAGAGACCAGCCUCCCUUUAAAUUCGUCUCACAGACCCUCUAUAGUGGACGCUUUGACUUGUGAGUGAGAAAGAGCUGGUGGGACCCGGCUGCAGAUCAGCUCAGGUCCCAGCACAGGUGGGCCCCUGUGAGUCCCUGAAGAAAACUGAAAGCAGCAGGCUGUGUGCGAGCAAGCAGGAGGGCCCAGGUGGCACUGAUGGACAGGAGGUUACGCCAGUCAUGCCAGGUUUUGAUGGCUCAAGGGGACCAGUGGAUGUUUUACAUGGGUGAGACCAGGGCCCUGCUGGGAGAAGCAGGGGGAGUGGACAUUCUCAGCUGCAACAGCUACAGCGUUCAGAGUGGAGGUUUGUUUCUUAUUGGCACUUGCCUCCUUUGGAAAUGACCUUCUCUGAUGAAACAGUUUGUGAUGUGAGUUCCUCAGGACGGCGUCUCUGCAGGGACUUUGGGGAGAGGACCUCAGAGUGCUCCAUUCCUCGAACUGGGCUUCACUGGAUCAUCCAUAUAAACCAUGUGCAUCCGUUUGCUAAUUAGCACCUUUCUUUGCAGGGGAUGACUGAGGGCCUUCGGUUUCACACUGGUUCACAUUCUGAGCUUCCCCCUCACACACACUCUGGAUUUAUACUGGGGUGAGUGAAAGCAGGAUCUAACCUACUGGGUGCAAAGGAGUCAGGAAGCAGGUGUAACCAGCAAACCCAAUGAGCAGUCAGAGGGGAAGGGUGGUUCGCCACCACCCUGCCCUUCUCACCCGGGCAGAGUGAGCACAAAAGGCCAGCACAGGAGCAUGGCGGUCUGGGACACCCUCCCUGCACUGGUGAAAGUGACCACACAGAGUGUAGGGCAGUGGCACAUCGGGCCGUGGGUGUGCAAAGCCAGCGGCGUCUCUGCCACAUUCAGCCUGGUGGCAAUGCCCAGAGACCAGUGGCCGUGGCCUCUCACUCCAGGGCUGGAUUUGGCCCUCGGGGGGGCAGCCCACACUUACUCCAGGCAACUGCUGGCUGGACUCAUUUUAUCCACACACCUUGGGCCAGAGUCAUCUUGGAUCCAAGUGUAGCGAAGCCUUCGCCCUGCCGCUGCUCUCACGCAAACCCACGGGAGGCUGGAGUGACACCUCUGGAGCCCAUGGAGUUACACCAUUGUCACUUGGGAUUUACAGCCGCCUGAGCGAGAGCGGAACUGGGCUCCGCGGAGCCACACGAGUCAUGAUUUGGGCCCUAAUUAUUUCCCCAAAGCAGCCUCAAGAGCCAGCGUGGUUUUUCAGAGAAUCUUCCCUCCCCCUGCUUUCCUCUAGUAGCCAGAGAGCGGAGCGGUGUGUGUUUGGGUUGUGUGUGUCUUCCAACCGCAACAAAUAUUUCAUUCAAUUUCUCUAACCCCCUUGGCUGUGGUAUUUAAACAGCAGGCGUGGUCCUGGCACUCCUCGCCAAAACCAACACUCGCUUCAGACCAGAUAACCCUGCAAGCAAACAAGCCACCGAGGCCAUGCCAAGCUGCAGCGGAAACCUGAUGGGGCAGCUGCCAUGGGGCAGAGAGGGGCAGAACCACCUGAGCCUGCCUGGGGACGGGAUUGGGGGAGAGUGGCCAGAUAGCAGGUGUGACAAAUUGGGACCCUUUUUUGGUGGGGGGUACAGUGGCUUAUGUAAGACAAAGCCCCUAAUAUCACGACUGUCAAUAUAGCGUAGACUGGGGCCUAAGAGCAGGCAGAAGCAGAACAGGGUAAUGACUGGGUGCUGCACAAGGUCGUUGAAGAGCUGGUGUGUUUUCAAGAGCUCCUCAAAGCAAGUGCUGCAGAACAAAAAGUGAAAAUGAAACCUCCUUGUCAGUGUGGAGGAGUCUGGCAUUUCGGGCAGAACAUUAUUUUAUUAUUAUUGUUAAUAAUCAGUUAUUGUUGACUAGCGCUGGUUGACAUUUUUUGGUCAAAAAGUUGUAGGCUUUUUAAAUUGAAAAUGGCUUUUCCAUCACGCCAAACGUUGUUGAUUUUUGCUUUUGCUUUAAUUUUUAUGUUUUUUUCCAUGACAAUUUUCAAAAUGAAUAUUUGUGUUUCGUUAAAAAAAAUGUCGUUUUAGGUUUUAUUUUUCAAGGUGUUUUUGUUCUCUCCCCCCUCCCCCCAUUAUUUCUCCUUGUUUUGAUUCCCCCCCACCCCGAAAAAGAGCGGGGAAAUAAAAGUGAGAAAAAGUGAGAAGAUGGAGAAACCAUCUUCCAACCCCUGGGGUUUUUAAAGUCCAAUCUGCAAAUAAACACAUUUUAUUUCAUUUCAUUUCAAACUUUUGUAAUCAAAAAAAUGAAAAGAUUGGUGACAUAAGCUGAGUGAGAUGGCAGCCAUUACAUUCUUUUUAAAUUGGUCGUAGAAAUGGAAUUCUAUUUUGGACCAAACUGCUUAAUGAUGAUGACCAAUCAGUGUAUCCCAUGCGUUUGUGGUCACGCCCAGAGCACCUCCCUGCCAUACAUGGUGAGACAGUGCCUGCUCCGAUGAGCUCACAAUCUAAGGAUGGACAGAUGGCCAAACAGGCCAGAGAAGAGGGAUUCUCUAUCCCAGCCACCCAGACAGUACAGCAGAAGCAGGAGGUGAAGGUGAAGAGGAGCAGUGCUCUGCAGGUGAAGUAACUUCCAGAGCUUUCCAUUGCAAUAUGGAAGCAAUGGUGCAAAGCAGGUAGCUGAGAUCAAAUCAAGGUUUUGCCAGUCCCCAGCAUGGCCACACGCCCCACGCAGAUUGCUCGCUCUGAAGACAGAUUUUUUUCUUUUUGGUCAAGUUCAAAACCCGUGUGCCUCAAAUGACAUCACUGAGGCACAUUGCCAGCAGUAGCGUGAAGUGUAUUGGGGGAUAUUUAUAAACCUGGCCAUGCUUGUUCCUUCCCAGGUGUUUGCAGAAGUUGCACCUACCAUCACCAAGUUAAACACCCUGCACAGAUUAGAUCUGGGGAGUCCCAGACCAUGCAAACAAGACGCUUGGCUGGAGCAAAUCUCCCAGGGCCACUCUUGAGCCAGGGGAGUUAGAGAAAGUGGAAGCAGGUUCCUUAUCUGGAUGUUAUCUCUGUCCUGUCCCGAAGCUCUCUAGAGCUUUCUCUGGGGGAUAAAGGAAGAAGCAGGUUUCCAGGAAGAGUAUUAACUCAGGCAUUCCAGGCAUUUUCACGCUCACGGAUCCCAGGAGCACUAUGGCCGACGCUGGUGAUCUCACAAUACUCAGUGUUUGCAUAAAGCCCCAGAGACAAGUGAUGUAGGGGAGAAUCUUGGCUUUCAUUGUUUUCCAAAAGUAACUUUCCAGCCCUUAUAGCUGUGGAGAAAAGCUUCCAAACAUGACUCACGUGUGAGCCAAUAGGUCAGAGAGCAGCAGACAGAAAGAAUAGAUAGUCUUUACAAAAUCUCAUGAUUUUGAGGCUAAUCUCAGGAUUUCUGACCCUUUCGGGUUGGUGGUACUGCCUAGGACCAAUGCUACACUCAGCAAGGAAUGCAGCCCCCACCCCAGGGAUGAAUGUGAUUGCUUUUUCACAAUCCCAUAGAACAGCUGUAAGAGACCUACCCACUUCGGGGGAGGUGGUAGGUGAAUGGACUAAACUGCAACCUGGCCAGGCUGCUGGGACUGACGCUGCUUCUCUGGUAGGAAUGAUUUCAUGGGGAUUAUUUCACAUCGGCACCUAGAGUCACAGUGCACAGAGGUAUUGUCACUGGUGCAUCGGCUCAGAUCCUCAGCUCAGGGAAAUCAAUGUGGCCCCAUUGCAGACAACUAAGCUACACCAGUGUACACCAGCUGAGGAUCUGUCCCAAUACAUUAUACUGUAUUUUUUGACACUGAGUGUUUUUAAUUAUUGUUAGAGUGUUUCUAUCACAAAUAAACAAGUCAUGGUCCUUA